AUUGAACGCUGGCGGCAGGCCUAACACAUGCAAGUCGAGCGAGCGGCGGACGGGUGAGUAAUGUCUGGGAAACUGCCUGAUGGAGGGGGAUAACUACUGGAAACGGUAGCUAAUACCGCAUACCAUCAGAUUUGCCCAGACGGGAUUAGCUAGUAGGUGGGGUAACGGCUCACCUAGGCGACGAUCCCUAGCUGGUCUGAGAGGAUGACCAGCCAAACGGGAACUGAAGAACGGUCCAGAAUCCUAAGGGAGGCAGGAGUGGGGAAUAUUGCACAAUGGGCGGAAGGCGGAUGCAGCCAUGCCGCGGGAGUGAAGAAGGCAUUCGGGUUGUAAAGCACUGGAAGAGGGGAGGCGUUAAACGCAGAAGAAGCACCGGAUAAAUCCGUGCCAGCCGCCGCGGUAAUAC
rnacentral:rRNA from 1 species